GACGAACGCUGGCGGCGUGCUUAACACAUGCAAGUCGAACGGUGAAGCGCCUUCCUUUUUGGUGGGUGUGGAUGAGUGGCGAACGGGUGAGUAACACGUGAGUAACCUGCCCCCUUCUUCUGGAUAACCGCAUGAAAGUGUGGCUAAUACGGGAUAUUCUGGGUCUGUCGCAUGAUGGGUCUGGGAAAGAUAUUGUUUCGGUGGGGGAUGGGCUCGCGGCCUAUCAGCUUGUUGGUGGGGUGAUGGCCUACCAAGGCGGUGACGGGUAGCCGGCCUGAGAGGGUGGACGGUCACACUGGGACUGAGACACGGCCCAGACUCCUACGGGAGGCAGCGGUGGGGAAUAGUGCACAGUGGGCGCAAGCCUGAUGCAGCGACGCCGCGUGAGGGAUGGAGGCCUUCGGGUUGUGAACCUCUUUCGCCAGUGAAGCAGGCCUGCCUCGUUUGUGGGUGGGUUGACGGUAGCUGGAGAAGAAGCGCCGGCUAACUACGUG
rnacentral:rRNA from 1 species